rnacentral:rRNA from 1 species
AGGGAAUCUUCGGCAAUGGGGGCAACCCUGACCGAGCAACGCCGCGUGAGUGAAGAAGGUUUUCGGAUCGUAAAGCUCUGUUGUAAGUCAAGAACGAGUGUGGGAGUGGAAAGUUCACACUGUGACGGUAGCUUACCAGAAAGGGACGGCUAACUACGUGCCAGCAGCCGCGGUAAUACGUAGGUCCCGAGCGUUGUCCGGAUUUAUUGGGCGUAAAGCGAGCGCAGGCGGUUUGAUAAGUCUGAAGUUAAAGGCUGUGGCUCAACCAUAGUUCGCUUUGGAAACUGUCAAACUUGAGUGCAGAAGGGGAGAGUGGAAUUCCAUGUGUAGCGGUGAAAUGCGUAGAUAUAUGGAGGAACACCGGUGGCGAAAGCGGCUCUCUGGUCUGUAACUGACGCUGAGGCUCGAAAGCGUGGGGAGCGAACAGGAUUAGAUACCCUGGUAGUCCACGCCGUAAACGAUGAGUGCUAGGUGUUGGAUCCUUUCCGGGAUUCAGUGCCGCAGCUAACGCAUUAAGCACUCCGCCUGGGGAGUACGACCGCAAGGUUG